rnacentral:rRNA from 1 species
UACGGAGGGGGCGAGCGUUAUUCGGAAUUAUUGGGCGUAAAGGGCGCGUAGGCGGCUUCAUAAGUCAAAGGUGAAAUCCCUCGGCUCAACUGAGGAACUGCCUUUGAAACUGUGGAGCUUGAGGCCGGGAGGGGGUAGCGGAAUUCCCAGUGUAGCGGUGAAAUGCGUAGAUAUUGGGAGGAACACCGGUGGCGAAGGCGGGUCUCUGGGCCGAUACUGACGCUGAGGAGCGAAAGCGUGGGGAGCGAACAGG